CUGCCUUUCUAGUUUCAGGAAACAGAAUUCAUUAAACCAGUCAAGCUCUAAAUUAUUCUUGCAAGCUCAGAUGCUUAGGCCUCCAGUACAAUGUGUACUAUGAGUCCAGGUUGUUUCACGAGCAAAAGGAGCAGAGGCCUCUGCUGCAGGAAGCAAUUGAAACAGAUCGAGAUGACUAGGAUGGCCCAGAGUCAGUCUGGACUCCACAGGUCACAUGGCUGAGGAGAUUGUCUACCACUUCUCUGGCAGCCAGCUCCAUGAAGGGAUAGAAUCAGUCCCUCCCUGUGCUGAUGUAGUGGGCUGUGUUCAGGUGAACAUUUCACCAAGGCAAACUGGCAACUGUACUCCAACUCUCAAGGAGCCCAAACUCGGCUGACUCUGU